rfam:Myotis lucifugus cont2.47266, whole genome shotgun sequence.
GGCAGUUCUCCAGUGACGCACCCCGGAAUCGGGCUCCCUUCUCUGUUUCCGGGUGCAUCACCUGAGAUCCACA